CGCAAUGUAUGUAACAUAUCAUUUUGUUAUUAUUUAUAUAGUUAUGGAAAGUAAAUAAUACCUGGAAGAAAUGAAAGGUGUUUUUUUACAUGGCUUUUUUUAUUUUUGAGUCAUCCCUGUCAGGGCCCCGCCGAAAAUGUUCGAAUUGGGCCCCGCGCUUCCUAAAGCCGGCCCCGGCUGCGGUGUCAGGUUAAUCCCACGUGCUGGGCGGGUGAAUCCUGGAGCUGGAGCCCUCAGAGCCUGGCUGGAAUCUCUCUGCGCUGAGGCUGCCCUGUAUGUCCCACCUGCUAAUUGCUGAGGGCUCCUUCAGUGACCCCAGUGUGAGCCCUGCUCCAGAGAGGACUCAAUCCGGAUUCACAACCCAGAGCAGGACCCAGCCCAGGGGGGGCCCAAUUCUGAGCCCCCUCCCUAAAUCCGCCCCCAUGUUUCUUCCUCCCAGCCCCAUUCAGUGAGCCCCAGCUGACCUUCAACCUCUCCAGUGCCGGGGUCACGCUGACCGUCCACACAGGGGGCGGGUACCCCGCGGCCACGGUGCGGUGGCUGGACGAGGCGGGCAGGGACGUCACAGCAGAGGACGCCACGGAGCAGCAGGUGGAUGAACAGGGGCUCUACCACGUCACCAGCUGGGUCACGGUGCCGCCUGCGACCCACAGCGCCAGGCUGACCUUCGUGUUAACCCCUCGUGUGCUGGGGGCACCAAUCACCCGGCCACUGAGCCUGCAGCUGAGCCCAGGACUCCUGGAUCCCCCGGCCUCCUGCCUUGGGGUCCGCCUGGCUGUCAUCUGUGCCGCCUGCCUCUUCAUCGUCCUGCUGGCUGUUGCGUUUCUCCACCAUCUCCACCAGGGCCCGGCCGGAUCCCGCCCCUGGAGGAAGGUUGAGGAGGAGGAGGAGCAGAAAGAGCUCUCUUGCCCAAUCCCAGCCAGCCCCAGCUCAGAACAAGCCGGGGCUGUGUCCUAGGGGAUCGGCUGGGGCAGAGCUGGAGCCACCACAAGCAAGAUCUAGCACCACCCAGGCACUGCCAUCUCCUGGCAACUGAGCCCCAGAGGACCUAGGAUAACCCCUGCUGCCCCGGCUCUACCAUCCGGCCAUGCCCCUCCGCCUGCUGCCCUUGACCUUGGCCAAGAGCUGGGGGACCCACAUCCUCUAGCAGCAUCACCGCAGGGUCUCCAGCCUUCACCCUCUGCCCUAAGAAUCACACUCCAUCCACGGCCCCCAGCGUGACGCGCCCUCCCCCUGGCAACACCCCUUCUGGGAACGGAGAGGCAGCUGCAGCCCCUGCCCCAGGCAUGAGAUGAGUGAAUGAGCCCAACAGGGCCGCAGCAGAACCGCCGCACUAGCCAGCCCGUGGGUUGGCGCACAGGGGCCAGGGUUCUGCAUGUCAGCCCAGCGGCAGGUCCCUGGCUGCCCAGUGCUUAGGCCUGCAGCUGUGCUUGCUCCUCUGCCUGCCUUGGUCCUGUCCGGCUCCCGCCCUGCUCUCGUACCCGGCUUCUGACCCCUGGCUCCGGUUAUUGGCUCGGCUUCAGCUUUUAAUCUUGGCAGAUUCCUAGUUGCAGCUUUGGCCUACGGCUAUGGUUUGGACCUGGCUCUAACCACUAGGUCAGACGGCCCAUGUCCCGCCCCUGACACCGGGUGUUACUCUCCAGACUAACCGCAGCUGGCACCGGUGUAAUCUCUUCUCUAGCUGUCCCUCGUUGGCCCCCUCCCCCGCACAUACUGCGCCUUCUUCGUCAGCCGUCCCCGUCUGUGCUGCAUUCUCCUCCUGGGACGGGCUCACCCGCUGUCCUUUUGUCUUGCAUCGUGUGCAGGUUCCUAUACCGCCCUCAUCACCGCAUCGCUGAGCGCCUGCCAGGUCGGGCACUAAGCACCGCGAUUACGCCUCUGUCACGUGCUCUUUGUUCUCUCAGCCUCUCCCCAGACGGAGAAAUGAGUGCACUGGAGGCUCUUGUUUUGGGCUAGUGGAUAGGCUGGGCCCAGGCCAUGAAGCGCUGUGAAGAUAACGACCGGUCACUAUCCUGCGGGAAGCCAGCGUGGAGAGCGGAGCAGAGGUGGGAUGUGCUUGCGGCAGCUUGCCCGGCUGAGGAGACGCGCUACCGCGUUUGGUACUCGUUGGAGUCCCUGCGUGCCGGAGGCUUCCCGCCCGGGCCCAUCGUGCUGCUGUUGUCUAGCCGGGAGGUGCCAAAAGCGCGAAGCUCAGGUCGUCCCCCGCCAGGAUGGACGGAGUCUCCUAGCCAGCCGGAGAUGGCAGAAAGCGCCACGUGCGACCCAGCGUCAGCGAGGAAUCCCGGGGCGCUCCUGGCCUAUGGGCCGGACUGGCCGGUGGGGGACGUGAACCUUCAAUCAAAGGCGGUUGCUCCCAGCUGCGAAUGUCCCCGAGUGCUCUCCUCUGCCCGCCUUGCUCGGAGCCCGUCUUAAAAAGUGAUCUCGCCUGGCACGGGGCCAUCAGGGGGGUGAGGCUGUGGGCGGGUGUGGUGAAGGACAGGUCGAGCUGGGAGUCACCUGCUGGUUGCUGGCGCUUGAGUCUGUGGUGUCUGACCAGAUCCCGCAGUAGCUGCAUGGUGUCGAAACGGACCAGAGAGAGAACUGAUCCUGGUGGAACCGCUCUAGCCAGCGGUCUGGGGCAGAGGAGCCGUUCCCCAUCGCUACUCACUGGGCGUGUCCGUUGAGCAAUGGUGCAAACAGAAAUAAUUUCUUGCUGCGGACUGGACCGGAGCGCCCUCCUUGCCGUUGAGGAAGGAAUCCAACCAUGGGCUCCCGGCACCUCUCUCAGCUGCGUCCCACACUCGACAGGGUCGAACGCUGCAGAGAGCACCAGGGGAUGGGGAUGGGUAUCUGCCCUCUCUCCUCAACAGGAGGAGACCAUCCAUCACUGCCACGAAACAAUUUCAGCUCCGUGUCCUGGCCUGAAUCCAGCAUGGGUCGAGUCCCGCACGUUGGCUUGAGUCAGACGAGCCAGUGGGCGGCUUUGGAGCAAAGAAGUGAGGGGUCUGAGACCGGGCGGCUGUUGGCUACAACCGUCGGCUGCAGGGCAGGUUUCUGCAGCGCUCUCCUAUGUGGGGAGGCGGACAGGCCGGUCCCUUCUCUCAAUGUCUGUUUCAGCCAGGAGCGGCACCAGGGGUUCAUGACUCUCUCACAAACCAGGAAGAGCCUCGGUCGGGUUCCCAUGUCCUGGACCAGGACUGUUUUGGGAUGUCCUUCAUGUCUUGCCCAGUGACUGUCCCGAACGCUGGGAUCGCGGGGGGUGGGUGUGGGCGGAGGGGGCCAGGCUGUAUGAGGAGGUGUCCCAAACGGAUGGAUCUUUCCAGCCAAGCAGGAGGCUGGCUCUUCGCUCGUGUGGGGCGUGGCUCUGCUGCAGGACCCAGGCACUCCAGAUCGAUGGAGAGGUUUUCCACCCGGGACAGCCCCUUGAGGUGGGAUUUGGCCACCUCUGGGGGCCGGUGGGAAAGGUCUCUCAGGGUGGUGUUUGGGGUGUUUCAUCCUCUCUGAAUCAGCCUCUGGUUUCCGCUGUUGCCACUUCACCCAACCCAGGGCAUCAGAAAGCGAGUGUGUGUGUGUGUGUGAGAGAUGGGGAACACGGGGCCAUUUGAGGGCCAGCCCGCCCAUGGUUGAGGCUUGGGUAGAAAGAUCCUUGACCCCUUGUCCUGCAGGUGGGCACUGUUGGCCUGUAGCCAGCUUUGGAAUUUGUUGGAGUGCGAGAGUCUCCGUGGUUGAAUCAGGCUUGUUGGUCUUUCUUCUGCCUGUGCCUCAGUUUCCCAUCUAUAAAAUGGGGAUAACACUACUGCUAUUCUUUGUAACAUGCCAUGGGAGCUGUUACUGUUUCAAGCUAGGUGUUUAAUUUAUUAUUUGUAUUGUUUGUUAAUUAUUAUUUGUAUUGUUUGUUGUUUGUUAUUUGUAUUGUAUUCUUAAAUCUGUCCAUCUUUGGCCUUAAAAUCCAUGAACAUGUGUCAUGCAGUGAUUUAAGGAGAUUGCCCUUUUUAGCUCAGCAAAGAGGCGACUUGAUUCUGGUCUAUCAGUAUCGCCCUGAGAAGGAGAUUUCUGAGAGCAGAAACACGCUGGUCUGACCUAGAGCACGGUAGGGGCUGUGCCAGGAGACCUGGCUGGCUGGGCCCAUGGGUCUGUUCCAAUGCAGCAGGGAGGGGUUUGGGGGUGGAAUGAAAAUACCCCAGAAUUCCCCGUACGACAGAGCGGGCUCAGCUCCACAACCCCCUCCCCAGCUGCUGAGGGCGCAGAAGAGAGUAGGACCCGAGUACCUACCAUGAUGCCCAGAAUGGGCCCAAGGUGCCGUUAGGAACCGGAGUGAGCAAGUGGGGAGCACCUUCCUGUCCCAUCCCUUCUGCCCUGUCCCAUCCCCCUCCUGCCUCGACACCCCAACUUCCUCCUGUCUCUCCCCACUCCCCGUGGGAUGGGCAGUGUGCUACAAUCUCAUGAUCUAUACAGGAAAAAACAAUCACCCCCCACAAAACCCAAACAAUGAACUGGAACGCCCAGAAAAAAAAAAACAGCCGAAAUCCUGACUGGUUUCUCACCUUCUCUGUGGCUGUGAGCGGGGGAGGGGGGAACUAUAAUUGUGAACGCAGAUUAAGGUAUUUACCACAACCGGCUACAGAACACAUACACGACGGCCUGGGUUGGCUAAUAUACAUUUAUAUGCUAGCCAGCCCGUAUCGUAUUAAUAGUGGGCCUUAGCCGCACCGUUUCUAUAUGUUAGUAAGCAUUAAGCACCACUAGCAUGAAGCUCAAAUACUGUAACCGUGCUGUAGGCUAGGCUGGCCUGAACCAGAACCCUGUUCCCUUAUGCCAAGUAUCCCAGAACUCCAUGCGUUUGCUGAAAUAGGGAUUUGGCAGAAGCCAAUAGGAAACGUAUCAAAGGCAAGAUACGGUCGUUCCAUGGCCUAGUACAGGCUGGGAAGGAGCUUCACGGCACAGGCCCUGGAAGGCUGGUCCCAACCCGGAGUUAAGGAAGGAACAGAACAGGUUAGAGAACUGGGACAAACCGAGGGGCUGGGUUCCAGUGACGUGGGAAGAAAUUUGGAACUUGUAAAAUCGUAUCACCAGACCUGCUGAAACGUGUAACUAGGGGAGCAAAUCUUCUGCAUAGGGCGCCUGUAACGUGAUUGCACAGGACGGCUUUUCGGCGACUGGUAUAGUUUAGAACCUCUCUCCUGUAGCAUAUUAAUAAACCUGACUGACACUGGUUAUCUGGUCUCUUGGGCAUAUUUCAUAACGAAAUAAUGAACCAAAGAUUGGUCAAGCAGCUGACUACACCUGUGGUUUUCAACCUGUGGUCCAUGGACCCCUGGGGAGCCACAGACUAUGUCUUAGAUUUCCAAAGGGCUCCCCUCCUCCAUUUGAAAUUUUUAGGGGUCUGCCAAUGAAAAACUGUUGAAAACCACCAGGCUAUAUGAUUUCAUCUGCUGUUCUUGCAGGGGAUAAAGUGCACAUUACACACAGUUUGCAAAGUAGUGUUAGAUUGUGUCACACUGCAAUUCAUAGAGUCUAAGGCAGAAGGGACCAUUGCAAGUGGCAACUCCACGCCUUCUCAAACUAUGGGGCAGGCCUCUCAACAGAGGUGCACGAAUGUGUCAAGGGAGAUGUGAGCUAGGUGCUUUUUUUCUUUUUAAGAGCUCUGCGGUGGCUGGGGUUCAUGCAGAAGGGCCGUGCACACCCUAGAGGUGGAGAUAAAGGGGACAGCCAGAGCCCCAUGAUCCCCACAGUACAACCUGGAACUGAUAGGGGGGCACAGCGGUCUAACUCUCCAGCCUGUGCUGUCUCUCACGCCAUCAGCAUGAAUGAUCCCGGAGCCACUCAUGAAGCUUACGGAGAGAGACACCAGACAACCCUCCCAGCCUUGCACCCCUGCACUAUACCAUCUUACACGGCCCAAACUUCUCUUGGACAGCACAAACUCGUUAAGUAGUUCACCACUUUAACAAAGGAAAGUGGACAUGCCCCAACCUUUGUAAACUGAGCUGAGAUUCCUCGAGCACUUCAACC